GCUUGGGUAGCCGGUUGGUUAGCGCGUCGAGCUACUGAUCCGAAGCUCGCGGGUUCGAAUCUCCGCCUCGGAAA